GUAAAACUUAAAUUUUAGAAAAGAUGUAAUAAUUCUGUAGAUACAUUUUAGGUGUAUCUUUUCUUUACAAUCAGUAACAGAUCAGUAAUAAUUGUCAGCCAAAUGGUGGCUUAGUAAAAUGCUGGCUUAUUACUUGAAUAAUCUGGGUUCAUUUUCCGGAUUCCAUACUUCCAAAACUUUCUUCAGAAGAGAUUCUGGCGCAUAUCCUUCUGGGUCUUAUCCUUCUUCACUUUCUUGUGGGGACCGAACCUACUAUAGAUGUGGCGGCCUGAAUAUUCUGUCGCUCAAUAAUCUCAAUACAAUAACAAAGGAAAGAAAGUUGAUAGACUCAGUGAACAUCAGAAGGGGAAAGAGGGGCGGCUGCCCCGGGUCUCAC
rnacentral:lncRNA from 1 species